UUGCGGUUAAAAAGCUCGUAGUUGGAUCUCGGCGGGCAGGGGGUGGUUCGCUCUUCAGCGCUACUGCCCCGCUUUGCCCGUGUGAUUGGCGGAGGUUUCGGGGUGCUCUUCGUUGAGUGACUCGGAGCGCCGUCAGGUUUACUUUGAAAAAAUUAGAGUGCUCAAAGCAGGCUUUUCACGCUUGAAUAUUCGUGCAUGGAAUAAUGGAAUAGGAACUCGUUUCUAUUUUGUUGGUUUUCGGAAAUCGAGUUAAUGAUUAACAGGGACAAUUGGGGGCAUUAGUAUUCAGACGACAGAGGUGAAAUUCUUGGACCGUCUGAAGACUGACUACUGCGAAAGCAUUUGCCAAGAGUGCUUUCAUUAAUCAAGAACGAAAGUUAGAGGUUCGAAGGCGAUCAGAUACCGCCCUAGUUCUAACCAUAAACGAUGCCAGCUAGCGAUCUGCCGAGUUUUUUUUGUAGGCUCCGCAGGAAGCUUUCGGGAAACCAAAGCUUUUGGGUUCCGGGGGAAGUAUGGUUGCAAAGCUGAAACUUAAAGGAAUUGACGGAAGGGCACCACCAGGAGUGGAGCCUGCGGCUUAAUUUGACUCAACACGGGAAAUCUCACCAGGCCCGGACACUGGAAGGAUUGACAGAUUGAGAGCUCUUUCUC
rnacentral:rRNA from 1 species